rnacentral:rRNA from 1 species
UACGAAGGGUGCAAGCGUUAAUCGGAAUUACUGGGCGUAAAGCGCGCGUAGGUGGUUCGUUAAGUUAGGAGUGAAAGCCCCGGGCUCAACCUGGGAAUUGCUUCUAAAACUGGCGAGCUAGAGUAUGGUAGAGGGUGGUGGAAUUUCCUGUGUAGCGGUGAAAUGCGUAGAUAUAGGAAGGAACAUCAGUGGCGAAGGCGACCACCUGGACUGAUACUGACACUGAGGUGCGAAAGCGUGGGGAGCAAACAGGAUUAGAUACCCCCGUAGUCCCUGA